rnacentral:lncRNA from 1 species
GGGAAAGGACAUGAAGAAAUAGUACUGGGUCCCAAAUUUGGAUACCUGAGUCUCACCAAAAAAAGCAAUUCAGAGAUCAUUCAGUGACCUGCAAGCACCAGGACAAUGGGCUGGAAGGAAUAAGAGGACAGCAUACAAUUGCUCAGGUCUCUGCAGGUCCUGGGUAAUCACUCCAGUACGAGGGCCCAGGAAUGCUUCAUCAAGACAAGGUGACUUUGAAAUGAUUGCACCAGGCCCAAAUUACAGAUCCUGCGUAAGCUUUCAACAAUAAAGCUGUAAUUU